UUAUUAAUUCUAAAAAUAGUCAAUUUGACUUAAAAAAGUCAAAACUGAGCAGUUAAUUUGGGACGGAGGGAGUACUUAAUAAAAUCAUUGAUUGAGUUCAAAAAAGAGGGGACAAAGAAGUUCUCAUGCACAUUAAAUAGCCAAGUGCAGGGGCUGAAAAAGAAAAAAAAAGGAAGCAUAUUAGUACUGUACUAUAAGAUCAAAAACAAAUUUUUAAAUAGUCACAGCAUAUACUCCACACUUGACCAAAGUCCAUUUGAUUUAAAAAACAAUCUGAAAAUUUACACACGAGCAUCAUUAUACCAUUCCAGAUGAUAUAUAAUUAGCAUCAACAUACAAAAGUACAAUGAGGAAAUUCAAUAUGCAGAAAAUCAUCCAGAUAAUUCCAUACAUUAGUAUACUCUCAUAACAUUCGAUAGGAAAAUAAAUAUAAAGAAAGCAAACCUUUAUCACGUUAUUAAAUAUGGGAUCGAAGAACACUAACCUUGGAAUAUCACAUCCAUCCGGCUUCCAUCGACAAUUCAUAAGUCUCAUCAACAAAAGGGUAACUCCCUAGUUUAUAAAUUGGGUAAUUUUCUUCAUCGUUCAGGUUUUGCAUCACUUGUAUGGUCAUUACCAAAUUCAAUUAUUUCAAAUCAAAUAUAAACAAAUUAUAGGAUCAAAAACAAAUUUUUAAAUAGUCACAACAUAGACUCCAAACUUGACCAAAGUCCAACAUAUUUAAAUAGCAAUCUGAAAAUUUACACAUGAGCAUCAUUAUACGAUUCCAGAUGAUAUAUAAUUAGCACCAACUAACAUACAAAACCACAAUGAGGAAAUUCAAUAUGCAAAAAAAUAUCAAGACAAUUCUAUAGCAAACAACAAUUCAACAAUGUUAGCUUCUUUUUUUCUUUUGAAAAGUACAGAAGUCAUUUUUAGUUUGUUUUAAUGAUCAUCAGUUGAAUGUACAACCUCUAUUAGAAAAAGCUUAUUAUAAUGAAAUUUAUGGACAUGAUCAUGCACAAAAUUGGAUGAUUCUAACCAUUAGUAAUUGAACAGAUAACAAAAAAGCAAAGUUGCUAACAAAUGAUCGGAAGAGUAAUCACCUGAGAAGCAGCAAUCCACUAAAUUAUGGCGUUUAGUUCAAGAUCUCCGCCAAAAGCACCACAACCCCAAUUCCCUGUUACAAUUCCAAAUUUAUCUUGAGCGUUACACAUGUAUAAUGUAAUGAAUGCCUAUACAUGAUACAUCUCCAGUAAAAAGAAUGUCCUAAAUAAUUGUAGGAAUACACCUUUACUAUUCAUAAAUCAACCCAACAAUUGUUUCAACAAUAGAAGAGUAUAUCCUACAACCAAAGGACUAAGAUAUAUCGACAUCAUGUUCUCCCCAAAACAAACUGUAUUAUGUUUUGUAGUUAUUUUAUAAUUUCAAGUGUACUUUUUAGGGGCUAGACGUGAUCAAUGCCAACAUAUAUUAGCAUUGUUUAAUAUAUGUUGGCAUUGAUGACUAAUUGCCAAUUAAUUUCCAGUAAAAACUAAAAAGUUCAUAUUCACCAACCUGCUUGGAUGUCAUUUUUUUUCUCAAUAAUUAGCCUUUUGUUUUACCAAGGUGUUAAUGAUUGUAAGUUCUUCCUAAGUGCUGUAUGGGAAAUGGGGGUAGCCAUAGCAUAAAAACACAAAUAAAAUUGUUUUCUUUACUUUGCAUCCAUUCCAAGAAGACCCAAAGAUGGAUACACACAUGGUUUGAUUUCUCAGAAACCUAAAGCAUAUAAACCCCAAAUAAAAAUUGAAUCCUUAUAUCAUUUGCAGGGUUGUAGCUACAAUAAACUACAAAAGUAAAAACAAAAUUGCCCAAAUCAAGGAAAAAUAUGUAAUGCUAAGGUCAAAGGAUUUAUAGUUUCCCUAAUUAAUAUUUAGGCAGAUAAAUAUAUACGAAUAUAUAUAUAUAUACGUACUUUUUGGAAAUUGCGAGUAUGAGUCAUAGCUAACUGACCGAUACGGUGAUGGGCUUGACACUGGCCAUAUCCAGCCUCUUUUGAGAAAAUUUAUCUGUACUUUGAAAUGUCGAUUUGGUCAUUUCUUAAAUUGAAGCAAUUGCAAGGUAAGCCACUGCAAAAUAACUUUCCAUGAAUGUAGAAUUUCAACUCACAUAUAGCUGAUCACAUACACACUCAAUCAUGUUUCAUAUCAGUCAAUGAUUACAUCAAAAAUCGAGCUUCAAUAUUCAUCAUCUCAAAAACAUAAUUUUUUAAACCCGCAUACUAUAAACAAAGAAAGUGAGAAAUUCUUAAAUCCAACGAAAGAAAACACAAAGCAUAUAUAGGAAUUGAUUGAUGAUAAGUUAAAAAAAUUCCACUUUAGUCUAUACAAACAUUUGACUUUCAAAUUAUUAAAUAUAAUAAUCCAAUUUUCAUUUUUUUCCCAGAAGAUAAAAUUUUUAAUUUUAAUUUAACAAACCUGUUUAGAAUCUCCUUCAAGUCCACCAACGGCUGAGUACUGAUCCUCCAUUCGACCACUUUUGACUCUUUUACAGUACACAGAAUACCCCUCCAUCCUCCGGCGCUAAACCCAAAGAAGGCAGAAUUCCAUAAGAUAACAACAUUCAUGGGCAUGGGCAAUUAUAUGUAUUGAUAGAUGGAUACAGUAAAGGGUGUAACAAUUUCUUUUAAUAUUAAGAACACUUACAAAAUAAAGAGAAAGAAACAUAACAGAUUCAAAAUAAAAUAGAAUAAAAAUUAAAUAUACCGUGGUAUUCUUCCUUCUUAGAGGCUAUCCAUAACCCAUGUUGGAUCGGUGGCAGAGUCGCCGACGCCGGUGAUAAAAUCCCAAGAAAUUGACCCAUUUCGAAGCCUUGAACCAUACCCAUAAGGUCACUGAACUUUCCCUCUCUCUAUUUCUACUAUGGAAGCCAGUCUCGCUGCCGGCGAGACAUCUCCGCGGGUCGAGGCGGAGGAGGCGGCGGCGACGGCGGGGGAUGUGGAAGAGUAGGAGGAAGAAGAAGGGCCAGUGAGGCGUUGGACCAAGUGAAAGGAGUGAGAGAAGGGGAGCAUGUAUAUGGAAGUGAAAUAGGGCUGAGUGUAGUGAAGCAGAGGAAGAGGAAGAGUUGGAAAAUCUAGAAAGAGGAACGGUUUUGUCGAUUGUAGUGUGAGUGAUUGAGUUAAUUGGGGGCUGUGCUGUUGAUUAAGGUUGAAAUUGAUUGAGUUGGAUUUGAAAUUGAUUGAGGAGGAUAAUGCCUGUUAAAUGCCUGUUGAAAAUCAAAUUGGAAGAUAUUGAUUUGAAAUUGAUUUUGGACUGUUACUAUAAUUGAAAAUCAAUU
rnacentral:lncRNA from 1 species